rnacentral:sRNA from 1 species
GGCCCAACUGACUUGAGUGAACGAAAGACAGAGAAGGGUUUUAGAUCAAGCCUUCCCCAGCCGAUUCACGCGUCAGAGGAGUCGACAUACCUGAUAGACCUGAUAUGGAAAACUCGAUCACCUUCCAACCUAUCGUCCCCUCUGCGCUCUCGACAGGUUGAUUCUGGGUCUUUACUAGCCCUUAGAUCUCCUUCUCUGAGUACUGCUGCCGCAUCAAUGGAGACGCUGCUACCGGGGUUAACAGACGGUUCAGCUGGUGCUAUAAAAGCCAGCAAUUCAUCGGAUGGAGCUAGCAAUGGUGCUGUGAAGGGAGCACUUGACCUGCUUAUUGAGAGGCUACAGAAGGAACUGGACCAAGUCAACCAGAUUAUCGACGACAGUGAUGAGCCUGUAGAGUCAACGGGAAUAGGAACCUAUCUGUUGAGCCGAAAGAAGC